CUACGGGCGGCAGCAGUGAGGAAUUUUGCGCAAUGGGGGAAACCCUGACGCAGCAACGCCGCGUGAGUGAAGAAGGCUUUCGGGUCGUAAAGCUCUGUCAGAUAGGAAAAAAGUUCAUAUGUAAAUAGCUUAUGAAUCUGAUGGUACUAUCAGAGGAAGCACCGGCUAACUCCGUGCCAGCAGCCGCGGUAAUACGGAGGGUGCAAGCGUUGUUCGGAAUUACUGGGCGUAAAGGGCGUGUAGGCGGUAUGGUAAGUCAGAUGUGAAAGCCCUGGGCUUAACUCAGGAAGUGCAUUUGAUACUGGCAUCCUUGAGUAUGGGAGAGGAGAGUAGAAUUCCCAGUGUAGAAGUGAAAUUCGUAGAUAUUGGGAGGAAUACCCGUGGCGAAGGCGACUCUCUGGACCAAUACUGACGCUGAGACGCGAAAGCGUGGGGAGCAAACAGGAUUAGAUACCCCGGUAGUC
rnacentral:rRNA from 1 species